AUUGAACGCUGGCGGCAUGCUUUACACAUGCAAGUCGAACGGUAACAGGCCUUCGGGUGCUGCCGAGUGGCGAACGGGUGAGUAAUGCAUCGGAACGUGCCCAGAGGUGGGGGAUAACGCAGCGAAAGCUGUGCUAAUACCGCAUGUGAUCUGAGGAUGAAAGCGGGGGACCAAGCAGCAAUGUUUGGCCUCGCGCCUCUGGAGCGGCCGAUGUCAGAUUAGGUAGUUGGUGGGGUAAAGGCCUACCAAGCCGACGAUCUGUAGCUGGUCUGAGAGGACGACCAGCCACACUGGGACUGAGACACGGCCCAGACUCCUACGGGAGGCAGCAGUGGGGAAUUUUGGACAAAGGGCGCAAGCCUGAUCCAGCAAUGCCGCGUGCGGGAAGAAGGCCUUCGGGUUGUAAACCGCUUUUGUACGGAACGAAAAGGCUCUGGCUAAUACCUGGGGCUGAUGACGGUACCGUAAGAAUAAGCACCGGCUAACUACGUG
rnacentral:rRNA from 1 species